GCCCAGAGCCUGAUGCAGGGUUUGAUCUCACAAACUGUGAAAUCAUAACCUAAGCAGAAAUCAAAAGUCAGAGGCUUAACUGACUGAGGGGCGGGGCCCCCCCAGCGCCCCUGAUCUCUUCUAAUCGCUUUGCCUGGGUGAACUCACUAAUCUCCCAACAGCUCUGCUAGAUGGGUGGUGUUCAUUGGCCUCAGUUUCCCCGUCUGCGGCAUGGGCGCGAGAGAGAUGAAGGAAUUUUUCUGCGAUCUCCUGGAUGGUAGGUUUUGGAACCAAGACCUGGUCUCCGCUGAGUCUGGUUUCCAAACCUCUAUUCUUUGCAGAUUCUUAGCGGAUACUUCGUUGAUUCUUCAGGUGUUAGGGGCAGAGGAAGUAAAGAAAGAGGAGCGGUCUGGAUGUGGAAGCACAUCAGAGGCCCCUUGAGAUACCGGAGCCCCCCUCCCCUUUUAGAAAGUUUGCAUACGACCCACAUGAGUACCUGGUUUCACUAACUGGAAGAAAUCCAAAGAGGAUUUCCACGUUUACCAAAAAAAAAAAAAAAAAAAAGACGAAAGGCAAAAAUAGCGUUGGGCGUUUGUUUUGCAGCCAGCCCCUACAGGGGCAGCACGCACCCCAGGCAGCCCGUGCGGCCCCACCCAGCUCCUUGCCUGGGGACUCCGUGCAGCAUCUCAGCAUCCAGCCUUUGAACCACAUCUGGGAGCAUCUAUGCUUUGUCUCCAUUUGUGUUGUGCGUCCACUAGCAAGCUGUGUCCUAAGGUAUCAGAAAAACCUGAGAGAGGUUACUUUUGGGGGUCCGGGCACGCUCACAGAGUUUUCCACACACGUUAAUGGCAGUUGCCUCUUUGCCUUACAUCAUUUUGGCUCACCCCGGGUUUCAUAGGAACGCUCCGCUUUCGGAGAGCGGGGGGAGACCUGUGCCAGGAUCUGGGCACGCGUUCCCAGUCUUGGCUGGGGAAGUUGUUCCAGGGAAUAAAGGCGGGUCUUGGCCACACAGGCCAGGAGCUUCUUGUCCUGUCCUUCCUUGUUCCCUCCAGGGUUCCGUGACCACCCUGCAGCCCUGGGAGACGCCAGCGGUCUCAGCGGCCGCAGAGGCUGUGUUCAAGGUAUGAGCAAGGGCUGCAGACCUUGAGCCCCUGCUUUACGUGACCCCUCACUCCCUUCCCAGGAAGGGUUGGGGAUUGAUCGGCUGAAAGGGGACGAACGGACCCGGUGUGAGAAAAGCCACGUUCUCGAGCUGCCUUUCAAAUGGCAUUGCCCAAGACCCCAUUAAAUUCUGCUUGGAGCCGUGGCCUCUGUCACGGUGGAGGUCCCAAGCCCACCUUGCCCUGACAGGGUCACGACACGGCCCUGAGCCUGUAGCAGGAAAGCGAAAGCCACACUGGCCUCUGUCCUGGGAGGAGAGCUUUGCUAUGAGCGAGGGAGGGGUUUUCUUCAGAGUUGCAGGGACCCUUGCUCGGCCGGGGUGAGCACUGGCCCCAGAGGGCCGUGGACAUGGGCCAAGUCUGACAGGGGCCUCAACCAUGAUUCUCCUCGGCCCUGGUCGACUCCUCGGGGGAUGCUCUCCUCGCCU